AUUGAACGCUGGCGGCAUGCCUUACACAUGCAAGUCGAACGGCAGCGCGGGUGCUUGCACCUGGCGGCGAGUGGCGAACGGGUGAGUAAUAUAUCGGAACGUGCCCUAGAGUGGGGGAUAACUAGUCGAAAGAUUAGCUAAUACCGCAUACGAUCUACGGAUGAAAGUGGGGGAUCGCAAGACCUCAUGCUCCUGGAGCGGCCGAUAUCUGAUUAGCUAGUUGGUGGGGUAAAAGCCUACCACGGCGACGAUCAGUAGCUGGUUUGAGAGGACGACCAGCCACACUGGGACUGAGACACGGCCCAGACUCCUACGGGAGGCAGCAGUGAGGAAUUUUGUACAAUGGGAGCAACCCUGAUCCAGCAAUGCCGCUUGUGUGAAGAAUGCCUUCGGGUUGUAAAGCACUUUUGUCAGGAACGAAACGGUGAGUGCUAAUAUCCUUUGCUAAUGACUGUACCUGAAGAAUAAGCACCGGCUAACUACGUGCCAGCAGCCGCGGUAA
rnacentral:rRNA from 1 species